rnacentral:rRNA from 1 species
CAAUAGCGGAGGAAAAGAAACCAACAGGGAUUGCCCCAGUAACGGCGAGUGAAGCGGCAACAGCUCAAAUUUGAAAUCCGGCCCCCCGGGCCCGAGUUGUAAUUUGCAGAGGAUGCUUUUGGCGAGGCGCCGCCCGAGUUCCCUGGAACGGGACGCCACAGAGGGUGAGAGCCCCGUCUGGCUGGCCGCCGAGCCUCUGUAAAGCUCCUUCGACGAGUCGAGUAGUUUGGGAAUGCUGCUCAAAACGGGAGGUAUAUGUCUUCUAAAGCUAAAUACCGGCCAGAGACCGAUAGCGCACAAGUAGAGUGAUCGAAAGAUGAAAAGCACUUUGAAAAGAGGGUUAAACAGUACGUGAAAUUGUUGAAAGGGAAGCGCUUGCGACCAGACUCGGGCGCGGCGGAUCACCCGGCGUUCUCGCCGGUGCACUCCGCCACGCCCGGGCCAGCAUCAGUUCGCGCCGGGGGACAAAGGCGCCGGGAAUGUGGCUCCCCCGGGAGUGUUAUAGCCCGGCGCGCAAUACCCUGGGGCGGACUGAGGACCGCGCGUUACGCAA